GCCAGGUGUGGUGGUGCACACCUUGUAAUCCCAGCUACUCAGGAGGCUGAGGCAGAAGAAUUGCUUGAACCCAGGAGGCAGAGGUUGCAGUGAGCCGAGAUCAUGCCACUACAAUCCAGCCUGGGUGAUAGAGCAAGAUUCUGUCUUAA
rnacentral:SRP_RNA from 1 species